AGUAGCUGGGACUACAGGCGCCCGUCACCACGCCCGGCUAAUUUUUUGUAUUUUUAGUAGAGAUGGGGUUUCACCGUGUUAGCCAGGGUGGUCUCUGUCUCCUGACCUCGUGAUCCGCCCAUCUCAGCCUGCCAAAGUGCUGGGAUUACAGGCGUGAGCCACCGCGCCAGGCCUGAUGGGUGAAUUUUUAAGAGGAAGAAUAAUAAGCAAAUAGACUAGUUUAAAAGCAAGGUAUCGUUUCCUUGGUGGAUCUCUUGAGAAGGAGAUGGAAACAGUGAUGGGGGACUUUGGCUUGGCCUCCAACGCGUCCCAGAACUUUUCUCUCUAGAGGUGUGAGCCAUACCCCUCCAGCAUAUCCAUUUUCCCAUCAGUUCCAUACUGUCUGUGAACUUCGGGGAAUCAUCAGUCUCUCUCUUCUGCAGUGUUCCCACCUUUAAAUGGCCCCUUACUCUCAUAAUCAGUGCUGAGUAGUGGCAAGGGGGAGAAAAUGGAAAAGUUGGCAUGGGAGAGAAGGCAGAUCCAGAAGAUAGGAUACAGCCCAGCCCUGAGAAUGUGGCCUGAUUUUCUCUUCUGUUAUCACAACUGCUCUUCUGCUUGAGUUUCUUCUACACCUUCAAGAUGGCUGAAGAACAAGAUGCUUUCUCUCCAUGUCUGUGCUGUUUCACUAUGCUGCAAAUAUUCCCAGCCCUUUCCCCUUGAUGCCCAAAAUAAAUUCCUCAACUACCCUG